GUGCGAAUGCUGACAUGAGUAACGAUAAAGGGGGUGAAAAACCUCCUCGCCGGAAGACCAAGGGUUCCUGUCCAACGUUAAUCGGGGCAGGGUAAGUCGACCCCUAAGGCGAGGCCGAAAGGCGUAGUCGAUGGGAAACGGGUUAAUAUUCCCGUACUUCUUACAAUUGCGAUGGGGGGACGGAGAAGGCUAGGUGGGCCUGGCGACGGUUGUCCAGGUUCAAGUGCGUAGGCUUAAGAGUUAGGUAAAUCCGGCUCUUUUUAAGGCUGAGACACGACGUCGAGCUACUACGGUAGUGAAGUCAUUGAUGCCAUGCUUCCAGGAAAAGCCUCUAAGCUUCAGAUUGUAAGGAAUCGUACCCCAAACCGACACAGGUGGUCGGGUAGAGAAUACCAAGGCGCUUGAGAGAACUCGGGUGAAGGAACUAGGCAAAAUGGUACCGUAACUUCGGGAGAAGGUACGCUCUUGAUGGUGAAGUCCCUUGCGGAUGGAGCUGACGAGAGUCGCAGAUACCAGGUGGCUGCAACUG
rnacentral:rRNA from 1 species